AACUUUUGACAAUGGAUCACUUGGCUCCUGCAUCGAUGAAGAACGCAGUGAAAUGUGAUAAGUAAUGUGAAUUGCAGAAUCUCGUGAAUCAUCAAAUCUUUGAACGCAUAUUGCACCCUAUAGUAUUCUAUAGGGUAUAUCUGUCUGAGUGUUAGCAAGCUACUUAUUUCAAGUCUUUUUUAGGAUUAGAAGAUAUUCAGGGAAGUAAUAUUUUCAUAUUACUCCUUGAAAAUAUUUUUCACAGUAUUAUUUUAUAUUUUAAAAUGUAAUACAAUUAUAUAAAUCAUUCUAAAAUUGGACUCAUUCUUGUGAUAAAACAGAUUACUUGUAGAAAAACUGGCACAACCUCAGAUCAGGUAGGGAUACCCGCUGAACUUAAGCAUAUCAAUAAGCGGAGGCU
rnacentral:misc_RNA from 1 species